UUCACAGGUAUUCAUCCCAGUGAAUCUCCUGCAUGUCAAACAUGUCUUGGUGCCUGAUUCUGAGAACCCAAACUAGCGCAGAAGGUCAAGGGAAGGAGGACUCUAGGGACCAUUUAUUUCCUUCAUAAAAUACUCUAUUCACUGAGGAUCCAAGAGCCUAGAUUUGCUUUCUCAUGAAGGAUGACCACUGGUUGUUACUGUCUCAGCAUGUGCUGUUUCCUACCCACUGGAGCUUGAUGGGAAUGUAACGCAUUCUGGCCAAUGAAAUAUGAGCAGGAGUUCCUGUAUCAGUUCCAGAUCAAGUCACCUUCUUGACCAUUGUCCAUGUAUCUUAAUUAAAGCAACUUUUUGAAGCUUG